rnacentral:rRNA from 1 species
UACGUAGGGCGCAAGCGUUAUCCGGAAUUAUUGGGCGUAAAGAGCUCGUAGGCGGUGUGUCGCGUCGGCCGUGAAAACCUGGGGCUCAACUCUGGGCGUGCGGUCGAUACGGGCAUCACUGGAGUUCGGCAGGGGAGACUGGAAUUCCUGGUGUAGCGGUGAAAUGCGCAGAUAUCAGGAGGAACACCGGUAGCGAAGGCGGCACUCUGGGCCGGUACUGACGCUGAGGAGCGAAAGCGUGGGGAGCAAACAGG